rnacentral:rRNA from 1 species
GGUGAACGCUGGCGGCGUGCUUAAGACAUGCAAGUCGAACGGCAGUCUUCGGACUGUAGUGGCGCACGGGUGAGUAACGCGUAACUGACCUACCCCAAAGUCGCGGAUAACGAUUCGAAAGAAUCGCUAAUACGUGAUGUGCUGUCAGAUUGUGUUCUGCCAGUAAAGAUUGAUUGCUUUGGGAUGGGGUUGCGUUCCAUCAGCUAGUUGGUGGGGUAAAGGCCCACCAAGGCGACGACGGAUAGCCGGCCUGAGAGGGUGGCCGGCCACAGGGGCACUGAGACGCGGGUCCCACUCCUACGGGAGGCAGCAGUUAGGAAUCUUCCACAAUGGGCGAAAGCCUGAUGGAGCGACGCCGCGUGAGGGAUGAAGGUCUUCGGAUCGUAAACCUCUGAAUCAGGGACGAAAGACACUUCGGUGGGAUGACGGUACCUGAGUAAUAGCACUGGCUAACUCCGUGCCAGCCGCCGCGGUAAUAC